GUAGGGUGCGAGCGUUAAUCGGAAUUACUGGGCGUAAAGCGUGCGCAGGCGGUAAGUUAAGUCUGAUGUGAAAGCCCCGGGCUCAACCUGGGAAUGGCAUUGGAAACUGGCUUGCUAGAGUGUGGCAGAGGGGGGUGGAAUUCCGCGUGUAGCAGUGAAAUGCGUAGAGAUGCGGAGGAACACCGAUGGCGAAGGCAGCCCCCUGGGCCAACACUGACGCUCAGGCACGAAAGCGUGGGGAGCAAACAGGAUUAGAUACCCUGGUAGUCCACGCCCUAAACGAUGUCAACUGGGUGUUGGGGAAGCGAUUCCUUGGUACCGUAGCUAACGCGUGAAGUUGACCGCCUGGGGAGUACGGCCGCAAGGUUA
rnacentral:rRNA from 1 species